GAAAUGCGAUAAGUAGUGUGAAUUGCAGAAUUUAGCGAAUCAUCGAAUCUUUGAACGCACAUUGCGCCCCUUGGUAUUCCAUGGGGCAUGCCUGUUCGAGCGUCAUUUCAACCCUCAAGCACUGCUUGGUGUUGGGCGUUUGUCCCGCCUACGCGCGUGGACUCGCCUCAAAGUCAUUGGCAUCUGUUCCCCUUCGGCUCGUAAGCGCAGCACAGUCGGCGCCCGGAGCUCUGGUGGGAUGGCGUCCAGCAAGCUAUAUUUUCAGGCUUGACCUCGGAUCAGGUAGGGAUACCCGCUGAACUUAAGC
rnacentral:misc_RNA from 1 species